rnacentral:lncRNA from 1 species
GGAAAUCACUCGACUUUUACCGUAUCCCUAUUUAGCAUUGCAACUACUCGCCUUAACAUACUAGUAUUCAGUACAUAGGUACCUAGGAUCGUGCAGCUAGGGUUUCAAGCAAUCCUUAUAAACUUAAUGCACAAACAUAACUAGCAUAAGUAGUGCAUAAUUUUAGAAACCAGGGUUAUGCUUCGGGGUUUGCCUUCCUGAACUAUGUUAGUUAGCGGGUUGUUG